UAUCCAUUGGAGGGCAAGUCUGGUGCCAGCAGCUGCGGUAAUACCAGCUCCAAUAGCGUAUAUUAAAGUUGUUGCAGUUAAAAAGCUCGUAGUUGGACUUGUGUGCGCUGUCCGCGGGUGGCCUGCGCCCAAAAGGGCGUUUCGGUUCGGCCCCGGUGGCGCCUUGAAAUCUGCAGCUGGGGGGACGUUGGCCUUAACUGGUCGGCGACCGCACGCCGGCUGCUCGGUUACUGUGAGAAAAUUAGAGUGUUCAAGGCAGGCAUUGGGUGCAAUUGAAUACAUUAGCAUGGAAUAAUAAAAUAUGGCUCCUGCCGUAUUUUGUUGGUUUUGACUGGUGGGAGUAAUGAUUGAUAGGGACGGUUGGGGGUGCUAGUAUUGAGCGGCCAGAGGUGAAAUUCAUGGAUUCGCUCAAGACUAACUUAUGCGAAAGCAUUCACCAAGGACGUCCUCUUUAAUCAAGAACGAAAGUUGGGGGAUCGAAGACGAUCAGAUACCGUCGUAGUCUCAACCAUAAACUAUGUCGACUUGGGAUCGGCGGUAGUUUUUUCAUUAAGACACUGUCGGGACCACGGGAGAAAUCAAAGUGUCUGGACUCUGGGGGAAGUAUGGUCGCAAGGCUGAAACUUGAAGGAAUUGACGGAAGGGCACCACCAGGAGUGGAGCCUGCGGCUUAAUUUGACACAACACGGGGAAACUUACCAGGUCCAGAGAUGUAGAGGAUUGACAGAUCGAAGCUCUUUCUUGAUCACUUCGGUGGUGGUGCAUGGCCGUUCUUAGUUGGUGGAGUGAUUUGUCUGGUUAAUUCCGUUAACGAACGAGACCUCAGCCUGCUAGUGUAGUCGGCUGGAUUGCCUUUGGCGAUCCGUGAUUUCGACUUCUUAGAGGGACAAUCGACGCGCAGUCGAUGGAGGUUUGAGGCAAUAACAGGUCUGUGAUGCCCUUAGAUGUUCUGGGCCGCACGCGCGCUACACUGCUGGGCUCAGCGAGUUUUACUUGGCCGAGAGGCCCGGUUAAUCUUGUGAAAUCCCAGCGUGCUUGGGCUCGCCUCCUGCAACUGGAGGCGCCAACGAGGAAUUCCUAGUAGACGCAGGUCAUCAACCUGCAUCGAUUACGUCCCUGCCCUUUGUACACACCGCCCGUCGUUCCAUAAGAGUGAGGCAUCCGGUGAAUUCUCGGGAGAGCCUGGGCGUGGCCAGCAAUGGUCUGCUCGGGUUUGAACUUGCAUAAACUUGGUGCCUAUGAUUAGGG
rnacentral:rRNA from 1 species